AAAACAUGUCUUUUUGAAAAUAAUAAAAAGUCUAAUCUGCCCACUGAAUUUAUUUAAAGGGCUGCAGUAUAUUGACUGUACAAAGGUAGCAUAAUCAAUAGUCUUUUAAUUGAAGACUUGUAUGAAUGAUUUGAUGAAAUAUGAACUGUCUCUUUUUUAAAAAUAAAAUUUAAUUUUUUAGUUAAAAAGCUAAAAUAAUUAUAAAAGACGAGAAGACCCUAUAGAGUUUUAUAGUUAUUUAAUUUAAAAAUUUUAUAUAAAAUUUAAAUUUAAAAUUAAUUAAUUAUUUUAUUGGGGUGAUAGAAAAAUUAAAAAAACUUUUUUUAAAAAUUUAACAUUAAUUUAUGAAAUUAUGAUCCAUAAUUUAUGAUUAAAAGAAUCAAUUACCUUAGGGAUAACAGCGUAAUUUUUUUUUUUAGUACAAAUAAGAAAAAGAGUUUGCGACCUCGAUGUUGGAUUAAGAUAAAAUUUAAAUGCAAAAGUUUAAAAUUUUUGAUCUGUUCGAUCAUUAAAAUCUUACAUGAUCUGAGCUCAAAC
rnacentral:rRNA from 1 species